CAGCCGUAAACUAUGCGCGUUAGGUGUAUCGGUGACCACGAGUUACCGAGGUGCCGAAGGGAAACCGUGAAACGUGCCGCCUGGGAAGUACGGUCGCAAGGCUGAAACUUAAAGGAAUUGGCGGGGGAGGCACCACAACGGGUGGAGCCUGCGGUUUAAUUGGACUCAACGCCGGAAAGACUCACCGGAUAAGACAGCGGAAUGAUUGCCGGGCUGAAGACUCUGCAUGACUAGCUGAGAGGAGGUGCAUGGCGUCAGUGACU
rnacentral:rRNA from 1 species